rnacentral:rRNA from 1 species
AUUGAACGCUGGCGGCAUGCCUAACACAUGCAAGUCGAACGGGGUGUAGCAAUACAUCUAGUGGCGGACGGGUGAGGAAUACAUAGGAAUUUGCCCUUAAGUGGGGGAUAGUCCGGGGAAACUCGGUUUAAUACCGCAUGAUCUCGUGAGAGCAAAGCAGGGGACCGCAAGGCCUUGCGCUUUUGGAGAAGCCUAUGUCGGAUUAGCUAGUUGGUAGGGUAAUGGCCUACCAAGGCGACGAUCCGUAACUGGUCUGAGAGGAUGAUCAGUCACACCGGAACUGAGACACGGUCCGGACUCCUACGGGAGGCAGCAGUGGGGAAUAUUGGACAAUGGGCGCAAGCCUGAUCCAGCAAUGCCGCGUGUGUGAAGAAGGCC